ACGGGAGGCAGCAGUGAGGAAUAUUGGUCAAUGGACGGAAGUCUGAACCAGCCAUGCCGCGUGCAGGAAUAAGGCCCUAUGGGUCGUAAACUGCUUUUGUGGUGGAGCAAUAAGGCGUACGUGUACGUCGAUGAGAGUACAUCACGAAUAAGCAUCGGCUAACUCCGUGCCAGCAGCCGCGGUAAUACGGAGGAUGCAAGCGUUAUCCGGAUUUAUUGGGUUUAAAGGGUGCGUAGGCUGUGCGACAAGUCAGGGGUGAAAGCCCGCCGCCCAACGGUGGAACUGCCUUUGAUACUGUCGCGCUGGAAUACGGAUGCCGUGGGAGGAAUGAGUAGUGUAGCGGUGAAAUGCAUAGAUAUGACGAAGAACACCGAUUGCGUAGGCAGCAGACCAGGCCGUAAAUGACGCUCAUGCACGAAAGUGCGGGGAUCGAACAGGAUUAGAUACCCUGGUA
rnacentral:rRNA from 1 species